CGCGGAGAGGGGCAGCGGAGGUUUUCCUGGUUUCGGACCCCAGCGGCCGGAUGGUGAAAUCCUCCCUGCAGCGGAUCCUCAAUAGCCACUGCUUCGCCAGGAGAGAAGGAAGGGAAUAAACCCAGCGCCACCAUCCACGCCAGCCGCACCAUGCCGCUCCUAAGCCUGCACAGCCGCGGCGGCAGCAGCAGUGAGAGUUCCAGGGUCUCCCUCCGCUGCUGUAGUAACCCGGGUCCGGGGCCUCGGUGGUGCUCCUGAUGCCCCUCACCCACCCCUGAAGAUCCCAGGUGGGCGAGGGAAUAGUCAGAGGGAUCACAAUCUUUCAGCUAACUUAUUCUACUCCGUGAGUAUGGGGCCGGGCCUGCGGUGGGGUGGGUGGGGCCAGGCUUGCUGGGGCUGCUCUGGGGCCACAGGCACUUCUUGUGCAUCUUGCUGCCCGUACCUGUGAUUGAAUUUAACCCUGGGAACCCUGAGUUUCGUCAGAGCCAGCGCACAGUCUCCUGCAGCCCAGGCCUUGCCUGAGCUCAACACGGCCUAGGCCCAAGCCUUAGCGCUGCCGGGUUCUUGGAGUCCUGUGGGGUGAGUCGGGGUUCUGAAUUGGGCUGCACCCCCUGGACAGGAUGAUCGGCUGAAUGUAACAGAGGAACUAACAUCCAACGACAAGACGAGGAUUCUCAACGUCCAGUCCAGGCUCACAGACGCCAAACGCAUUAACUGGCGAACAGUGCUGAGUGGCGGCAGCCUCUACAUCGAGAUCCCGGGUGGCGCGCUGCCCGAGGGGAGCAAGGACAGCUUUGCAGUUCUCCUGGAGUUCGCUGAGGAGCAGCUGCGAGCCGACCAUGUCUUCAUUUGCUUCCACAAGAACCGCGAGGACAGAGGUAGGUGACCCGCAUCGCUUGCAGUAGGGUGCGUGGGGGUGCCUGUCCUGCCCCUUCAUUCUCAGCGCCGCCUGUCCUGCCCCUUCAUUCUCAGCCCGCAGGCGCGGUCUCCCAGCGGGAGUGGGGGGUGCGGGCCGGGGGUUUCUGGUCGGCAGGGGUUCUGACGGCUUCUCUCCCGCAGCCGCCUUGCUCCGAACCUUCAGCUUUUUGGGCUUUGAGAUUGUGAGACCGGGGCAUCCCCUUGUCCCCAAGAGACCCGACGCUUGCUUCAUGGCCUACACGUUCGAGAGAGAGUCUUCGGGAGAGGAGGAGGAGUAGGGCCGCCUCGGGGCUGGGCAUCCGGCCCCUGCGGCCACCCCUUGUCAGCCGGGUGGGUAGGAACCGUAGACUCGCUCAUCUCGCCUGGGUUUGUCCGCAUGUUGUAAUUGUGCAAAUAAAUGCUCACUCCAAAUUAGCGGUAUAUUUCUUGAAGUUUAAUAUUGUGUUUGUGAUACUGAAGUAUUUGCUUUAAUUCUAAAUAAAAAUUUAUAUUUUA
rnacentral:sRNA from 1 species